UACGUAGGGUGCGAGCGUUAAUCGGAAUUACUGGGCGUAAAGCGUGCGCAGGCGGUUUUGUAAGCCAGAUGUGAAAGCCCCGGGCUUAACCUGGGAAUGGCAUUUGGGACUGCAAGGCUUGAGUGCGGCAGAGGAGACUGGAAUUCCUGGUGUAGCAGUGAAAUGCGUAGAUAUCAGGAGGAACACCGGUGGCGAAGGCGGGUCUCUGGGCCGAUACUGACGCUGAGGAGCGAAAGCGUGGGGAGCAAACAGG
rnacentral:rRNA from 1 species